GAUGAACGCUGGCGGCGUGCCUAAUACAUGCAAGUCGAGCGAACGGACGAGAAGUUUGCUUCUCUGAUGUUAGCGGCGGACGGGUGAGUAACACGUGGAUAACCUACCUAUAAGACUGGGAUAACUUCGGGAAACCGGAGCUAAUACCGGCUGAUAUUUUGAACCGCAUGGUUCAAAAGUGAAAGACGGUCUUGCUGUCACUUAUAGAUGGAUCCGCGCUGCAUUAGCUAGUUGGUAAGGUAACGGCUUACCAAGGCAACGAUGCAUAGCCGACCUGAGAGGGUGACCGGCCACACUGGAACUGAGACACGGUCCAGACUCCUACGGGAGGCAGCAGUAGGGAAUCUUCCGCAAUGGGCGAAAGCCUGACGGAGCAACGCCGCGUGAGUGAUGAAGGUCUUCGGAUCGUAAAACUCUGUUAUUAGGGAAGAACAUAUGUGUAAGUAACUGUGCACAUCUUGACGGUACCUAAUCAGAAAGCCACGGCUAACUACGUG
rnacentral:rRNA from 1 species